rnacentral:tRNA from 1 species
GGUGGUUGUAGUUCAGUUGGUUAGAGCGUCAGAUUGUGGUUCUGAAUGUCGUGGGUUCGAGUCCCAUCUACCACCC